rnacentral:tRNA from 1 species
GUGACUGUAAUUUAACGGCAGAAUGAUCGGUUGUGAUCCGGUAGAGUGCGGGUUCGAUUCCCGUCAGUCACCCCA